rnacentral:piRNA from 1 species
GAGCAGCUAAAGAUGAGAGGGGCUCA